CGGAAAUGUGCCUGAGCUAAAGGGCUAUUUUGAUAGAAUAGAUCACAGGAAAACAUCUCCUCAUUUCCC
rnacentral:tRNA from 1 species